GAUUGGCGAACCCAUUAGUCAAACGAGCACAAUGAGUUUACCACUGAUAGGAUCAAUUAAAUGUAGCGCACUGAAUUAGACAAGGAUAUUGCCAAGUUCCUCUGCCAGCACCAACAGGCCUCCUUUUGUCUCUCCUGAGGCAUGUAAAAUAGACUAGAUGUAUCACCUGUUGAAACGAGACUUUCCUAAACCUUGCAGUGUACUGUCACAUACUCUCUGAAAUAAUAGUUGUUGCUUUUCAUUCAGCUGCGACCGCUGUGAGUCUUUCUGUUUCAAGCGGAGCAGGGCUUGAUGAGCGCUUGGCUGUGAGGGAGAGAGUGAGCGAAUGCAAACGCUGCCAAGGAGGUUGGGCUUGAUGAGCGCUUGGCUGUGAGGGAGAGAGUGAGCGAAUGCAAACGCUGCCAAGGAGGUUGGGCUUGAUAAGCGCCAGGCUGUAAGGGGGAGAGUGUGAGGAGAAUGCAAUCGCUGCCAAGGAGGUUGGGCGUGAUAAGCGCCCGGCUGUGAGGGAGAGAGUGAGCGAAUGCAAACGCUGCCAAGGAGGUUGGGCGUGAUAAGCGCCCGGCUGUGAGGGAGAGAGUGAGCGAAUGCAAACGCUGCCAAGGAGGUUGGGCGUGAUAAGCGCCCGGCUGUGAGGGAGAGAGUGAGCGAAUGCAAACGCUGCCAAGGAGGUUGGGCUUGAUGAGCGCUUGGCUGUGAGGGAGAGAGUGAGCGAAUGCAAACGCUGCCAAGGAGGUUGGGCGUGAUAAGCGCCCGGCUGUGAGGGAGAGAGUGAGCGAAUGCAAACGCUGCCAAGGAGGUUGGGCGUGAUAAGCGCCCGGCUGUGAGGGAGAGAGUGAGCGAAUGCAAACGCUGCCAAGGAGGUUGGGCGUGAUAAGCGCCCGGCUGUGAGGGAGAGAGUGAGCGAAUGCAAACGCUGCCAAGGAGGUUGGGCGUGAUAAGCGCCCGGCUGUGAGGGAGAGAGAGAGCGAAUGCAAACGCUGCCAAGGAG